UAGGGUGUUGCUCAGUGGUAGAGUGCUUGCCUCGCAUGUGUGAGUCACUGGGUUUGAUUCUCAACACCAUAU
rnacentral:tRNA from 1 species